GAUGAACGCUAGCGGCAGGCUUAAUACAUGCAAGUCGAGGGGCAGCACGGGUAGCAAUACCUGGUGGCGACCGGCAAACGGGUGCGGAACACGUACGCAACCUUCCUUUAACUGGAGAAUAGCCCCUCGAAAGAGGGAUUAAUACUCCGUAACAUAUUGAUAAGGCAUCUUAUUACUAUUAUAGCUCCGGCGGUUAAAGAUGGGCGUGCGCCUGAUUAGAUAGUUGGCAGGGUAACGGCCACCAAGUCUGCGAUCAAGUAACUGGUGUGAGAGCACGACCAGUCACACGGGCACUGAGACACGGGCCCGACUCCUACGGGAGGCAGCAGUAAGGAAUAUUGGUCAAUGGACGCAAGUCUAGAACCAGCCAUGCCGCGUGGAGGAUUAA
rnacentral:rRNA from 1 species